UACAGAGGUCUCAAGCGUUGUUCGGAUUCAUUGGGCGUAAAGGGUGCGUAGGUGGCGGGGUAAGUCAGGUGUGAAAUCUCGGAGCUCAACUCCGAAACUGCACUUGAUACUGCCUUGCUAGAGUACUGGAGAGGAGAUUGGAAUUUACGGUGUAGCAGUGAAAUGCGUAGAUAUCGUAAGGAAGACCAGUGGCGAAGGCGAAUCUCUGGACAGUUACUGACACUGAGGCACGAAGGCCAGGGGAGCAAACGGG
rnacentral:rRNA from 1 species